rnacentral:rRNA from 1 species
GACGAACGCUGGCGGCGUGCUUAACACAUGCAAGUCGAACGGAAAGGCCCUGCUUUUGUGGGGUGCUCGAGUGGCGAACGGGUGAGUAACACGUGAGUAACCUGCCCUUGACUUUGGGAUAACUUCAGGAAACUGGGGCUAAUACCGGAUAGGAGCUCCUGCUGCAUGGUGGGGGUUGGAAAGUUUCGGCGGUUGGGGAUGGACUCGCGGCUUAUCAGCUUGUUGGUGGGGUAGUGGCGUACCAAGGCUUUGACGGGUAGCCGGCCUGAGAGGGUGACCGGCCACAUUGGGACUGAGAUACGGCACAGACGCGUACGGGAGGCAGCAGUGGGGAAUAUUGCACAAUGGGCGGAAGCCUGAUGCAGCAACGCCGCGUGCGGGAUGACGGCCUUCGGGUUGUAAACCGCGUUCGCCUGUGACGAAGGGUGAGUGACGGUAAUGGGUAAAGAAGCACCGGCUAACUACGUG